CACCGGCGGCUCGAGUGGUGGCCACUUUUAUUGGGUCUAAAGCGUCCGUAGCCGGCUUGGCAAGUCCCCCGGGAAAUCUGGCGGCUUAACCGUCAGGCGUCCAGAGGAUACUGCCAGGCUUGGGACCGGGAGAGGUGAGAGGUACCUCAGGGGUAGGGGUGAAAUCUUGUGAUCCCUGAGGGACCACCAGUGGCGAAGGCGUCUCACUAGAACGGGUCCGACGGUCAGGGACGAAAGCUGGGGGCACGAACCGG
rnacentral:rRNA from 1 species